rnacentral:tRNA from 1 species
ACCUGGGUAGCUCAGUGGUUGAGCAUCUGUCUUUGACUCAGGUAGUGGUCUCAGGGUCCUGGGAUCGAAUCCCACAUCAGGGU